UAGUCACUGAGGACGGAACGGGCAGCCGUCACCCAUUGUUAGGAGAUGUAGGAGUGUCACCCUACCUUGACUA
rnacentral:ncRNA from 1 species